UCCCUGGAGGACUAGUGGUUAGGCCUCAGUGCUCUCAACCGCCGCGGCCUGGGUUCGAUUCCCAGCCAGGGCA
rnacentral:tRNA from 1 species